rnacentral:rRNA from 1 species
UACGUAGGGUGCGAGCGUUGUCCGGAAUUAUUGGGCGUAAAGGGCUCGUAGGCGGUUUGUCGCGUCGGGAGUGAAAUCCACUGGCUUAACUGGUGGCUUGCUUUCGAUACGGGCAGACUGGAGUACUGCAGGGGAGACUGGAAUUCCUGGUGUAGCGGUGGAAUGCGCAGAUAUCAGGAGGAACACCGGUGGCGAAGGCGGGUCUCUGGGCAGUAACUGACGCUGAGGAGCGAAAGCGUGGGGGAGCGAACAGG